UACGAAGGGAGCUAGCGUUGUUCGGAAUCACUGGGCGUAAAGCGCACGUAGGCGGAUGUGUCAGUCAGGGGUGAAAUCCCGGAGCUCAACUUCGGAACUGCCUUUGAUACAGCACGUCUUGAGUCCGAUAGAGGUGGGUGGAAUUCCUAGUGUAGAGGUGAAAUUCGUAGAUAUUAGGAAGAACACCGGUGGCGAAGGCGGCCCACUGGAUCGGUACUGACGCUGAUGAGCGAAAGCUAGGGGAGCAAACGGG
rnacentral:rRNA from 1 species